AAGUCGUAACAAGGUUUCCGUAGGUGAACCUGCGGAAGGAUCAUUAACGAAUUUCUCAAAGUUGCUUACAGCGUUGUGCGGUCUCUCGCAUGCGUUGAAGGUGGCUCUUGAGCAUUUCACACAUCCCUUGUGCACCUUAAGGAGGGUAACUAUUCUGUCUUGAGCGCUGUUAGUGCUCGAUGGGAUGUGUUGCCUUCUCUUUCACAACAAAUCUUAUGUUUAGAAUGUUUGAUCAUAUUAAAUAAAAUAACUUUCAACAACGGAUCUCUUGGCUCUC
rnacentral:misc_RNA from 1 species